CCUACGGGAGGCAGCAGUGAGGAAUAUUGGUCAAUGGGCGGGAGCCUGAACCAGCCAAGCCGCGUGAGGGAAGAAGGUACAGCUUAUCGUACACCUCUUUUGUCAGGGCACAAAGGCGGGGACUAGUCCCCGGAUGAGGGUACCUGAAGAAAAAGCAUCGGCUAACUCCGUGCCAGCAGCCGCGGUAAUACGGAGGAUGCGAGCGUUAUACGGAGUUGUUGGGUUUAAAGGGUGCGCAGGCGGCCUGUUAAGUCAGCGGUAAAAGCACGGGGCUCAACCCCGGCGAGCCGUUGAAAUUGGCGGGCUGGAGUUGGAGAGAAGUACGCGGAAUGCGCGGUGUAGCGGUGAAAUGCUUAGAUAUCGCGCAGAACCCCGAUUGCGAAGGCAGCGUACCGGCUCCACACUGACGCUGAGGCACGAAAGCGUGGGUAUCGAACAGGAUUAGAUACCCGAGUAGUC
rnacentral:rRNA from 1 species